rnacentral:rRNA from 1 species
GAUGAACGCUGGCGGCGUGCCUAAUACAUGCCAGUCGAGCGAACAGAUAAGGAGCUUGCUCCUUUGACGUUAGCGGCGGACGGGUGAGUAACACGUGGGUAACCUACCUAUAAGACUGGAAUAACUCCGGGAAACCGGGGCUAAUGCCGGAUAACAUUUAGAACCGCAUGGUUCUAAAGUGAAAGAUGGUUUUGCUAUCACUUAUAGAUGGACCCGCGCCGUAUUAGCUAGUUGGUAAGGUAACGGCUUACCAAGGCAACGAUACGUAGCCGACCUGAGAGGGUGAUCGGCCACACUGGAACUGAGACACGGUCCAGACUCCUACGGGAGGCAGCAGUAGGGAAUCUUCCGCAAUGGGCGAAAGCUUGACGGAGCAACGCCGCGUGAGUGAUGAAGGUCUUCGGAUCGUAAAACUCUGUUAUUAGGGAAGAACAAAUGUGUAAGUAACUGUGCACGUCUUGACGGUACCUAAUCAGAAAGCCACGGCUAACUACGUG